rnacentral:rRNA from 1 species
CCUACGGGCGGCAGCAGUGGGGAAUAUUGCACAAUGGGGGAAACCCUGAUGCAGCGACGCCGCGUGAGUGAAGAAGUAAUUCGUUACGUAAAGCUCUAUCAGCAGGGAAGAAAAUGACGGUACCUGAGUAAGACGCCCCGGCUAACUACGUGCCAGCAGCCGCGGUAAUACGUAGGGGGCAAGCGUUAUCCGGAUUUACUGGGGGGAAAGGGAGCGUAGACGGUGCGGCAAGUCUGGAGUGAAAUGCCGCAGCUUAACUGCGGAACUGGUUUGGAAACUGGCCGACUAGAGUGCGGGAGGGGUAAGCGGAAUUCCUAGUGUAGCGGUGAAAUGCGUAGAUAUUAGGAGGAACACCGGUGGCGAAGGCGGCUUACUGGACCGUAACUGACGUUGAGGCUCGAAAGCGUGGGGAGCAAACAGGAUUAGAUACCCGGGUAGUC